rnacentral:lncRNA from 1 species
UGUCUAUUCUUUUUUACAGUCUAUGGUAAGGACGGUCGAAUUGGGCAAAUGCUGCUGAAGCUCUAGUUCACUAACUGCAUAGAGAUCUAACAGUUGACCCCAUGAAAGGUUAAGGAUUAGUUGCUAGUGUUAGUACUUAGAGGCUACAAUUUAGUGGUUUCGGAUGCAGCCACAGUGUCAUUGUAAUUAGGAGUGGAAUAUUCUCGUGUUAUUUGAAGUAAUGUGACGAGACAGGGGUCUUUAUUGAUUUUUAUUCAAAAAUGUUUUUUUAUGGACACCACCAAGCCCUCAAAACCAUGCUCAAACCCGCACACCAGUUCCUGAAUCAGGCACGUGGUACGGUGCUUCAGGAAGGUUCAAAUCGUCAUUGUGUACGUCACCAACACACGCUCCGAACCACGCGCCGCCUCUGCCUCCCCCUUAUUGCUCGACACACGCUUCGACACGAACGUAACAUCACUAGGUCACGGAAAUCGGGAAGCUCUAUCCCAGACCAUGGAGGUUGCGACUGCUCCAAGCGUCUGCUCCAGGGUCUGGACAGAGACUGUUCAGGAAGUGUCCAUGGGCUUAGGGUGGAGCUGAUCCUUCUGGCUCGUAUCCACAGGAGUAAAUGGACUUGGACACUGCACAACUAUGGUUCUGGAGAGAAGCAAGUGCCAUGUCUUCAGUCUGCACCAGGUCCAGGCUGA